rnacentral:sRNA from 1 species
GACCUAACCCGCCAUUGGCGGUAUGGUUGUUACAAAUCCAUCGUGAAAUAAAAGCUCGUCGUCAGAGCACUGUUUCACGAUAGUCGGUACUGGAAACGGUACCGGGUAGCUUCGGCUAUC